UCCCGAUUGCGGGGAUUAAAGAGCGCCACUACUGCCCAGCCCUUUUUGAUCAUUUAUAAUUGGGCGUCUUUAGGACAGGAUCUCACUACCUCAGCUAGACUGACUUGAACCUGAGUUCUGGCCUCAGUUUAAUCCUAGUUAAUCAAGUUCUAUUUUAAUCAAGUGUUAAGUGUUUUAGUUUUGCUUGUGUGGGUAUAUGUACAUGUGUGUAGAAGCCAGAAGUGAACAUGGGUGUCUUUGUUAUUCUCUACCUUAUUUUUUUGAGGUAGGGUCUCUCACUGAACCUGAAGCUCACUGAGUUGAGCCAGGCUGGCUAGAAGUGAGCUCUGGGGAUCCGGCCCAAUGCUGAAGUACAGAAGCACACUGCUACCUUUUUAUGCAAAUGAUAGGGAUUCAAGCUUAGGUCUUCCUGCUUGUGUGCUAAGCACUUAACUCUCUCUCCAGUCUGUGUUCUGUCUGAGAUCAGAUUUGUUGUUUGUUUCCUUCGAGAUUCCAUUUGUUUUUAAUCCUAGGAUCGAUUUUUUAAAAUAAGGGCAUAUUUUUGAGAGUUUUUUGGUUUGAUGUUUUAAAUAUAUUAAACUCUAAUUUAUCUACAGUAUAUCAUGAUGUCUAGCAUGAAGUUAAGAAUCUAAGGAAUUUUCUUCAAAUAACUAGCCAAUUGUCCCAACACUACUUAUUGAGUAAUCCUUCAACGAUAGAUGUUAACAGGUGGAGACAGGGGUAGGUUAUUUUGGGCAGAAGGAACAUAUGUUUCCAGAUGGUGAGCAGUGCAGUUUGGCUGGGGUCCAGAGUCUGAUGGGGGACAAUGUAACUGGAGGCAGCUAGCUGCUCUAUGGCUAGGGAGACCCUUGACUCGGUAGACAGGGGCCACCAUAACUGAACAAACAGGAGUAGUUCUUUAGCCUCGUGCCUCAAGGAAGUGACUCAGGGCAAGCACAAGCCCUUGAUUAAAAGCAGCAUCUGUAUUCUAAAAUAGGCCCACAUAGACUUUGAGUGACUGGGCAAUGCUAGCUGGGGAGGAGGGAGACUGUGGUUCUUUGGUCAGGAUUUAAAAACUAUAUGGGGUCAAGAGAAGACAAUAAGGUGAGGGCUCUGGUGACCAGAGAAUGAGAAUAAUGCUAGCAGAUAAGCUCGAUUGGGGGCGUGAGGUCUUUUAAUGAAGACGAUAACUCGGAACCAAACUUAGGCUUCACAAGACCUCAGAUGCUGCAGACGUUAGCUGUCCCCCGAUCCCUGUGCACAGGGAAUCUAUGGAAGGGGCUGCUUUAUAACACAUUGUCUUUGAAAUGUCAGUUGAUUCCUCCUUUCUUCCUUCUUGGUGGGCUUAAAGCCCUGCCUUUCGAUAAACUAAGGGUUUAUGAAACAGAUCUGUUGACUGUUUGAGAAGCUGGCUGGCUGAUGCCCCUGGGGAAAUGUGCCAGCGGAGAGUCUAGCAUUGGGGUGGGAGAGAGAUGCAUCUUAGAGACUGCCAGCAGACAGACAGACUGGACGUCAUUCUCCUUGGGGGCCACGUAAAGCAAGGGACAGGUGAGCAGAAUGGAGAGAGAGUCGAGCCGGUGAUGACUGGAGGUCAUAUGAGAGUUAAUAGUUGAGCAUGAGCUUCUCCCACAUCUUCAAAUUGCAUCACAAGUCACACUGCUCAGAUCCUCCAAUUCUAAAUGCUGUUUCUUUAGCCCUAUUUCACAUUGUUAUUGGGGGAGGGGAUGGAAGGCACUGUGAAAGCAGGAAGUGUGGUUUGAGGAGCCACCCUGUGACAUCAGGAAAGGAAGGGAAUGGACAAAGGGUGCAGGCUCUCUUUCUAGAGAGAUGUAAGUGGCAUAAGUUUGAAGAAGGGCAGAGUGCAGACUCACUUGGAAUCACUCAUAUGAGGCCUGGAGCAAGCACAGGCAAUUGGUGCUUGGGAAAGGGACAGGGUAGAAGACAAGAAGUAUCCAUUGCCUUCUGAUAGUAGGGAGAGAAGACACUGGAGCCUCUGGUGGAAGGGGGAGACGUUGAAGCAGCCUGCCCGAGGCCACAAUGCUGAGUUGGCUAGGACUGAUAGUUGGGAGGAACUAGUAGAAGCCUACAGAACAUUCCUCGGCAUCCAGGGCGGAGCCUGAGGAGGUUGAGGCAGAAAUAGGAUCUCAGCCCCCAAAACAACACAGGCUGUUGUCUCUGCUCUUGGGUGCUCACCAGGACUCGAUAAGAUACUACUGCUGGAGACACCGUCCAUCUGAAUCACAGGACGUAGAGACGUGAGAUCACCGGUUCCUGGACAGUUGGAUCGCAAAGAUAGGAGACGCCUCCCACAUCUCGCUGUUUGGUGCUUUGGGAAGUACGGCUCAGAUUGCCAUGGUGUUGCAGAUCGGAAGCCCAGAUCUCAGGAUGAGAAAGACAGAUGAGAAGUACAAGUCCUUCCCGGCCUACCUGCUGCUACUUCAAGGCCAGAUGAGGCAGGCAACUUAGUGAGAUUCUGUCUCAAAAUAAAAAAUGCAAUCAGGGCUGGGGAUACAGGUCAACAGUGGCGAGCUGAUCUAAUGUGUGCAAGGCCCUAGGUUCAACCCUGAGUCCUAAAAAGAGGAAAAUCCUGUGUUUUCUCUUCAUAAAGUCCCACCACCUCAUAUCUUCCAGGAAAGGAUGGUCAUUUGGACCCCAGAAGCAUAGAAAGCCACUGUCAAAAGCCAGAAGCCAGUGAUACUUGCCCCAAAGACCACGGAGUAGGUGCUGGUGCCCUUGAGGGCAAGGAGGGUUUUCCAAGACGUAGUUGCUUUCAACUUUUGUACGUAUUUAUUUCAGGUGGAGAGGUGUUUUGCCUGUUUGUGUGUUAGUGUACCACAUGUAUGCUUAAUACCCACUAGAGAGUGUGACUGAAGAAACUCCAUUUUGUGCUAGACAUUCAUAUGGGCACCAAAUAGCCAUUUAUAUCUGACUCAAGUUCCUGGAUGAGAAGUUCCUGGCAACCCCAACUCCUUGACCCCCCCCCCCACUCAGACAACUGUGACCAUCGAUUUGUUAUGCUGUUUCUUGUAGUUGGAGGAUUCUCUCCUACCCACCAGUUCCUGAAUAACCACUCUGAGGCUUAAUAUUAAUUACACACUGUUUGACCUAUUCACUUAGGUUUAUUACUAACUAGCUCUUACAACUAAAUU